rnacentral:rRNA from 1 species
AUUGAACGCUGGCGGCAUGCUUUACACAUGCAAGUCGAACGGUAACAGGGAGCUUGCUCCGCUGACGAGUGGCGAACGGGUGAGUAAUGCAUCGGAACGUACCCAGUCGUGGGGGGAUAACGUAGCGAAAGUUACGCUAAUACCGCAUACGUCCUGAGGGAGAAAGCGGGGGACCGAAAGGCCUCGCGCGAUUGGAGCGGCCGAUGUCGGAUUAGCUAGUUGGUAGGGUAAAGGCCUACCAAGGCGACGAUCCGUAGCGGGUCUGAGAGGAUGAUCCGCCACACUGGGACUGAGACACGGCCCAGACUCCUACGGGAGGCAGCAGUGGGGAAUUUUGGACAAUGGGCGCAAGCCUGAUCCAGCCAUGCCGCGUGAGUGAAGAAGGCCUCGGUUGUAAG